AUUUUCCAUGCUGAGUCUCUGCCCCAGACUGAAUGUUUCUGGAAAGCUUCAGCAAUAAUGGUUUGGCCAUUAUCAAGAACAAGCAAAGUUCCAGAUCCUGGUGGGAACCCUGUAUCUGACAGGACUCCGAAGACAACCCCACUGGGCAAUGAAGGGAAGCAGAUUCUGAUGGACGAGGCUGUAUAACGAAGCAUGAUAUUGAUCUGUGGUUCAUGCUGACCACAGAGCCUAGCUGAAAUCAUUCUUUAGCUCUCUGCCCUAAACUCUGCCAGCUGGAACAUACAAACUUCCUACCGGCAUGGACAACCUUUGAAUACAGCAAGAAUUUAUCUCCAGAGUUAGGGGUGUCAGUCUGUCUGACCCUGGAGAUAAGUUAAUAGAAUGAACUAUGUAUGUUAUCAAUAAUAUCAUUUGAUAAAUACAGCCAAGGAUUUACAAGAUGACUAGUGAUUUUAGGUGCCUUUGUUUUGUGGAUAACUAACUGAGACCUCUUAAAGGAGCCUGAUUUACAGAAAGUGUUGAAAAUCAGGUCCUUUUAAUGUGUCUCAAGGUGGGUACCCCAAAACUGAGCCACUUAAAAUCACUAGCACUUCUGAAUGUUUGUGGUAUUUUCAAGUGCCUAUGUGGCUUAGGAACAUGAACCCCAUUGAGGGCAAGGGCUUGUGCUCCCGAGUCCCCUAUGUGUUUUUGAGAAUCCCACCCUUGUUCUGUAUCUCUUGCUGAAUACAUAGGAAGCUAAAUACAUACUAACUACAACUUUCAUGAUGAUAUUGCUUUGGACUAUGAGAUUGUAACAUGCAGUGAUGGAAGGCGUAUUGGAGCCUACUGUUCCCUCGCCGUGUGGGCAAUUAUUCACCUGCCACAACUCCUCCAUGCAGUGAAGAGAAGAAUAGACCUCUCCAUAUGAGUCAAGCUGUAAUACAUAUGGUACAAAGCUGGGGUGAGAACUGUAACCCAAGAAGGAGGAUCUGAUGUUGACAUAUGUGACAGUAAAAGAAAAUAAUCCUUUAAA